rnacentral:rRNA from 1 species
UAAGGAAUAUUGCUCAAUGGGAGAAAUCCUGAAGCAGCAACGCCGCGUGGAGGAUGAAGGGUCUAUGACUUGUAAACUCCUGUAAAGAAGGAAAAAAUUCCCAUUAGAUGGGAGAUGAUGGUACUUCUGGAGUAAGCCCCGGCUAACUACGUGCCAGCAGCCGCGGUAAUACGUAGGGGGCAAGCGUUGUCCGGAUUUACUGGGUGUAAAGGGUGCUCAGGCGGAUUUGUAAGUCAGAGGUGAAAUCUUACAGCUUAACUGUGAAACUGCCUUUGAUACUGCAAGCCUAGAGUAUGGAAGAGAGUGAUGGAAUAUCUGGUGUAGCAGUGAAAUGCGUAGAUAUCAGAUAGAACACCAAUGGCGAAGGCAGUCACUUGGUCCAUUACUGACGCUAAAGCACGAAAGCAUGGGUAGCAAACA